rnacentral:rRNA from 1 species
AGUGAACGCUGGCGGUAGGCCUAACACAUGCAAGUCGAACGGCAGCACAGUAAGAGCUUGCUCUUACGGGUGGCGAGUGGCGGACGGGUGAGGAAUACAUCGGAAUCUACUUUUUCGUGGGGGAUAACGUAGGGAAACUUACGCUAAUACCGCAUACGACCUACGGGUGGAAGCAGGGGAUCUUCGGACCUUGCGCGAUUGAAUGAGCCGAUGUCGGAUUAGCUAGUUGGCGGGGUAAAGGCCCACCAAGGCGACGAUCCGUAGCUGGUCUGAGAGGAUGAUCAGCCACACUGGAACUGAGACACGGUCCAGACUCCUACGGGAGGCAGCAGUGGGGAAUAUUGGACAAUGGGCGCAAGCCUGAUCCAGCCAUACCGUGUGGGUGAAGAAGGCCUUCGGGUUGUAAAGCCCUUUUGUUGGGAAAGAAAAGCAGCAGGUUAAUACCCCGCUGUUCUGACGGUACCCAAAGAAUAAGCACCGGCUAACUUCGUG